UCGGAACGUGCCCUGUAGUGGGGGAUAACUAGUCGAAAGAUUAGCUAAUACCGCAUACGACCUGAGGGUGAAAGUGGGGGACCGCAAGGCCUCAUGCUAUAGGAGCGGCCGAUGUCUGAUUAGCUAGUUGGUGGGGUAAAGG
rnacentral:rRNA from 1 species